rnacentral:rRNA from 1 species
ACGUAGGAGGCGAGCGUUAUCCGGAUUUACUGGGCGUAAAGCGCGUGCGGGCGGGGCGAUAAGUUCGUUGUGAAAGCGCCCAGGCUUAACCGGGCGAGGACAAUGAAGACUGGUCAGCUAGAGGACGGUAGAGGGGUGUGGAAUUCCGGGUGUAGUGGUGAAAUGCGUAGAGAUCCGGAGGAACCCCAGUGGCGAAGGCGACCUGCUCGGCCUUGCCUGACGCUCAGACGCGAAAGCAUGGGGAGCGAACGG